rnacentral:rRNA from 1 species
UAGUCUUUUAAUUGGAGACUGGAAUGAAAGAGUAAACCAAGAAAGAAUUUUUUUUUACUUAAAAAAUGAAAUUUACUUUUUAGUAAAAAGGCUAAAAUAACUCUUAAAGACGAGAAGACCCUAUAAAACUUUAAUAUUAUUAUUUUAUUACAGAAAAAAUAGUAUUUUGCUGGGGCGGCGAGAGAAAUUGACUUUUCUUAAUUUUUAAAAGUUAAAGUUUUUAAUAUCCAAAAUUUUUGAAGAAGAAAUAAGUUACUUUAGGGAUAACAGCUUAAUUUGCUUUGAAAGUUCUAAUUGACAGGCAAGUUUAUGACCUCGAUGUUGAAUUAAAAAACCUUUAUUUGUGUAAAAGCUUUAAAAGGGGGUCUGUNCGCCCCAGNNNU